rnacentral:rRNA from 1 species
GAUGAACGCUAGCGGCAGGCUUAAUACAUGCAAGUCGAGGGGCAGCACGAAUAGCAAUAUUUGGUGGCGACCGGCGCACGGGUGCGUAACACGUAUACAACCUACCUAUAACAGGGGGAUAGCCUUUCGAAAGAGAGAUUAAUACCCCGUAAUAAAUUGAGUGGCAUCACUUGAUUUUGAAAGCUACGGCGGUUAUAGAUGGGUAUGCGUCCUAUUAGCUAGUUGGUGAGGUAACGGCUCACCAAGGCGACGAUAGGUAGGGGAUCUGAGAGGACUAACCCCCACACUGGUACUGAGACACGGACCAGACUCCUACGGGAGGCAGCAGUAAGGAAUAUUGGUCAAUGGAGGCAACUCUGAACCAGCCAUGCCGCGUGCAGGAUGACGGCCCUAUGGGUUGUAAACUGCUUUUGUACCAGAGAAAACCUACUCACGUGUGAGUAGCUGAUAGUAUGGUAAGAAUAAGCAUCGGCUAACUUCGUGCCAGCAGCCGCGGUAAU